UCACUAAACAUGAUUAAACUCAUUUAGCUUCUGAUAGAGUCGGGUUUAGAUUGGGAUAUUUUAUAAAUAUUCGUCUUUGUAAGGGACCGUCUGCAAAUUACACGUUUUAAACGUUCUAGUAAUGCCAAACUAAGUAAGUGAGUUCUCAUAAAGCACAUUUAUAAGAAACUUUGUUUUGGAAGCUUUCUUAAAGAACAAUAAAUAAAAUUACUUUAUCGUUUUAAUGGCUAUAGUUGCUCCACAUUAAUGUGUCACUACAUUCGAGUCGAAUUACAUGGAACUUUUGGACUCUUCCCUAUGUAGGUCUUAAUAAGUAAAAUAAAAUAUAGAUUCAUUUUGUAUACACAAUCAUAAACAAGCUGCUGCACAUGGAAAGCUACAGACUUACAGUCUAACAUUUCAAAAUCUGUCUCAGUGCUCAUUCUAACUUAGUCACUUGUACUAUUAAAGUUUGUUAUCUUUCUUUUAUUACAGAAAAUGUAAUUCAUUAUAGAUUGAGACCAAGCUCUCUUGAGUAACUGUUCUCUAAAUAUUUGAUUGGGUGAAUUGCUAUAGACUGGUUUUGAAACUAAAUUCAAUUUUUGUGAUUUCAGUAUUGAACUUUUGAUGGCAUGAGGAAACAAACUGGUUUCACCAAAGUUGCACGAGGGCCAGAAACUAAAUGGCUUCAUGAUUGACAAUACAUUUACAUCAAAGGCAGUGUACAUUAGACAAUGACACAUUUACGUUUGUCACCACAGAUUUAGAGGACAGUGGUGUGGAGGUUGACACGACAACAGCAUCUAGUGACCACAGAAGUACCACACCAGUCAUUGUAUGACUACAAGGACUAAGGAUACCUUAAUCCACCUGAGUGACAGAUUAUUUGCUGUUGAGACUGUUCUGAAAUAUUUGGUUUCUGCAUGCAACAAUAAAUAAGAAACAUUUGUUUGCUUGGGACAAGAUCUUUGUUAACCAGUAUAAUAGUGAUUUCCUGACCUGUCCAUAACUUGAUAAUAAAUAUCUAAAUAUUA